rnacentral:rRNA from 1 species
AUUGAACGCUGGCGGCAGGCCUAACACAUGCAAGUCGAGCGAGCGGCGGACGGGUGAGUAAUAUAUGGGAAACUGCCCGCUGGAGGGGGAUAACUACUGGAAAAGGAAGGCAAUUACGCAUAGCAUCAGAUGUGACCAGAUUGGAUUAGCUAGUGGGUGGGGUAACGGCUCACCUAGGCGACGAGGCCUAGCUGGUCUGAGAGGAUGACCAGCCACCCGGCAGCUGAGACACGGUCCAGACUCCUACGGGAGGCAGCCGCGGAGAAUCUUGCGCAAUGGGCGCAAGCCUAAUGCAGCCAUGCCGCGUGUCUGAAAAGGACCUUCGGGUUGUAAAGCACUUUCAGCGUGGGGGCGUUACCCACAGAAUAAGCACCGGCUAACUCCGUGCCAGCAGCCGCGGUAAUAC